CGGACAGGGGAAGGAGCGAAGAUGGCGGAGUGAGGCGUGCCCCGGGCAGCUGGCCUGCGGGCCCGGGGCAGGCCUCCCGUGAGAAGCGGAGUACUUGUGCUGGACCGUGUGAGGUGAGCUGAGAAGUCCGUCUGUCUAUCGGGAGACGAGCAGCCGGUGGGGCGGCACAACUCGGGACGGGGUAGCGGCGAGCCUAAUGAGGGAGCCGGCGAGGCCUGGGCCUGACAGGGCUUUGCAUUCGCAGCCGCGUCCGGUCGGCUCCGCCGCCUCCGGGAACCAUAUCACACAAGAUGAAUAUUUUCCUGACCUUAGGUGCUUUUAUAUUCAGCUCAACAUUCUGAACUCAGGACUUGGCACGUAAGUAGAUAGAGAUAAUCAUCCCAAGUCCUGUUGUAGCGGCUUGAAAGGCUCCAUAGAAGCGACAUACUAAACUGUUAAGAGCAACAGAAGAUGAAGAUAAAAAUGAGUACAAGCCAGCUACCAUGGCUCACCUUUAUGCCCAGCUCUUGGGACCUGGGGAACUGAGGAAUUCCUAUGUGGACUGCUCAGUGAGGCGUCCUGGUUCUUCCAUCCUGUUACUUUCCCCAGUGAGAUGCAGAUGUCUUUCGACAGAUUACCUCCAUGGUUUAGGAUGCAGAGACUGCCUUUCUUUUACGUCAGACUCAACACAGGAAAGCCGUGAGGAUGCAGCCGUCCUGUUGACUUCAGCAAGAAAACAAACCAUGGACUUGGGUCUUCUGCAGCUUUUGAAUUGGAAAGACGGUGUUUGCAAGUAGAAGGAAGAUGCUGAAUUUGAAACAAGUGCUUAGGUUCUGUGGCGUGAGUUGUUUUCUUUUUAAAAGAUCCAAACAAGAAGACUGAACAAAUACCAAGUGUGGGUGACUUCAGGUUUUUUUUUUAAUGUCUUCCAAUUUUAACACUAUUAUAAGCACAGUUGACCGCAGUAAGUUCCAAAUAUUUAAUAUAAUUUGAAGUGAAAGAAAUGUUAUCUAAAUUCUGGCUCACUCUUUGACAGUUUUCCUGGACAAAAACAAGAUACGAUAAAAGCAGAAACCAGGUUUGAUUUUGUAUGGGAGUGAAAUCAUUACAGUUUUAUGGGUAUAAAUCUACAUUUUUAAACAAGAUUUUUCUCUUGGAGAAGAAACCUGUUGUUUAUAAGAAGGCUUUGGACAGUUUAAUAGUCUUAAAUGUUCUGCUUUGCUGUUCUAGUCCUUCUCAGGAAGGCCCAGCUGGGCCUGUGGCUAGUUCAGAAUGGGAGGAAACAUAGGCUGGGACAAUGCUCACCCUGAACUGCCAGCGUGUGGGAGGCCAAGGCAGGAAGAGCAGAUGUUCAGGGCCAGCUUGGACAUCAAGAGGCUCAAAACCAGUAGGAAAAAAAACAGAGCCCAGUAACACCCUCUUUUAUAUUCCUUUUGUGGAAUCAUGUAGCAUGUGAGACUGGGUUGGAAGGGAACUGGCAUAUGUGGUAUUUCAGUUAAGGUGAUGUGGUGGACCCUGAUGUGUAACUGGCCUUCACCUUUGGACAUACAGGAAUGAAGGAAAAACUAAAGCUUGGCAUAUAAAUCUUUUCUUCUAAGAAAAAGAAGCAAAGCUGUCUAAUGUAGCAUUGUCUGACUUUUCAACAUUUUUACUUUAUGUGGUUGCAUUUUUUUAUAAAAGUAUAAAUAAGUUCCUUCAACCCAAAA
rnacentral:lncRNA from 1 species